rnacentral:rRNA from 1 species
UACGUAGGGUGCAAGCGUUGUCCGGAAUUAUUGGGCGUAAAGAGCUCGUAGGCGGUUUGUUGCGUCGGCUGUGAAAUCCCGAGGCUCAACCUCGGGUCUGCAGUCGAUACGAGCAAACUAGAGUGUUGCAGGGGAGACUGGAAUUCCUGGUGUAGCGGUGAAAUGCGCAGAUAUCAGGAGGAACACCGAUGGCGAAGGCAGGUCUCUGGGCAUUAACUGACGCUGAGGAGCGAAAGCGUGGGGAGCGAACAGG